rnacentral:rRNA from 1 species
GACGAACGCUGGCGGCGUGCUUAACACAUGCAAGUCGAACGGAAAGGCCCUGCUUUUGUGGGGUGCUCGAGUGGCGAACGGGUGAGUAACACGUGAGUAACCUGCCCUUGACUUUGGGAGAACUUAAGGAAACGGGGCUUACUACAGGACAGCAGACCAUGUACCAGGGAGGGGGUGGGAAAGUUUCGGCGGUCGGGGUUGGAUUAGCGGCUUAUCGGCUUGUUGGUGGGGUAGUGGUUUGCCAAGGCUUUGACGGAUAGCCGGCCUGGGAGGGUGGCCGGCCACAUUGGGACUAAGAGACGCCCCAGACUCCUACGGGAGGCAGCAGUGGGGAAUAUUGCACAGCGGGCCGAAGCCUGAUGCGGCAACGCCGCGUGCGGGAUGACGGCCUGCGGGGUAUAAACCGCUUUCGCCUGUUACGAAGCGGUAGUGACGGUAAUGGGUAAAUAAGCACCGGCUAACUACGUG